rnacentral:lncRNA from 1 species
GGGUAGAAGUAGCUUGAGUGCAGACUUAAGACAUAGUUAGAUGUGUAGUCAAGCAAUGAAGCCAAAGUUAAGAACAACUGCUAAUCCAAGCUCUCUUCCUUGCAAACCUUCACUGGUAAAGAAAAAAUUAAAAAAGGAAGAAGAUGACUAUGAAUAACCGGAUAAAUUAAAAAAUCUUUAAAUGAGAGAUCUUUUGACAAAUAGCUCAUCGAUAUGUAACCAGAGGAAUGGAAUUCUCUACAUCACUGUAAAGAAAGAAUACCUAAAACUUAAUUCAAAAGGUAUUCAAUGGUCAUAUGGAAAGGCUCCAAAGGCAAAUGAUAACUGAAAAAAGUGGUGAACCAUAGGAAAUACUUAUCAUGAAAGGAAAAACAUCAACCUGAAAUUCCUAUAUUUUUCAUUUCUUCAUGGUUCAGUUAACAAAAAUCUAAGAAAUAUAUUUUAAUAAUUUAAUUGAAUUCUUUUAUAUCCUUAAGAUAUUUAUGUAAAAUGCUCUCACUGAGAUUACUUAUAUAGAACAAGGUAGGUUCUAUCACUUUAAAAUAGGAAGUUUGAGAACUAAAAUGUGGAAUAGUGAAGAUUGGCACAACUUUCACUGGACACUUUAUCACAUGACACUCUUCUAAUUUCUAAAGCGUCUGUUUUAUCACGCUUGUGUCUAAAUUCAUAGGACUACGCUAAUGGAUAAUCCAUAAAAAAUCAAAAAACAGGCAUCUUACAUCUGAAAAAGGAACACACUUCCUUGGAAUCCAUAUCAUUCAAGCUGUUCUAAUUCCAACAUAUGGAACAAGUAUGCUAGCCCUCCACAAGGCCUACAAUGCAAACAUAUUAUAUGCUAAUUAACUGCCAACUCAAAAUUUUCAUGAAUAUGAACAAUUUUAGUGUUCCCAUGUCUUGUUAAACGCUUUAAAAAAUGAGAGAUUUGGAAAUAAUUAGAAAUAACACCCUUUAAUGACUAUAACAACCACGAGGUCCACUACUGAAAAUCACUUUAUAAGUAGAAACUUCUUAACAUAAACAAACAUUCCGUAAUAAGAAUUCAUCGAGAUCGAGUCAGAGUAGCUGCAUCACUUUCUUUAGAGACCUUUCGAACCAGAGAUAUAAGAAAAUAUACAAAAAUGGAGAAGAAGAAGAAGACGAAGCCUUUCUACCUUUAACAGACAUCUUAUAAUUUUGAUAAAAAUAUAUAUAUUUAUGCAUGAUUGUAUUACUACACUGAUAGAUAAAAAAACUACAAUAGUACUUAUAACAAAGGUUUUGGGAGGCAAUAACGUGAAGGAAGACUUUAUUACGACCGACGAGCCCUGCGACCUACAUAACUCAAAGAAUAUUGUGUUGCCGAAGUGGCCAUCACUACAUAAGCAAAAACUUAAUAAAGUAUUCAUUCUUUAAGUUAAUAACACAUAAAGGACCAGAGUGAAGAGUAAGUAAAGCCUGAAGAUAAGAUAAAAUUUAAAACAAAAAUGACAACUACUUUAAUAAAAAUUUUAAUGUCAUUUCCUCCAUCAAAAUUACCUAUACCUUCAUUUGGAGGAGUUGUAGAAGGUGUAUUCACAUCUAUUACUACCCCAUAACACCAUUUUUUAUACAUAUAUUCAAAUAAAUACAAAGUAGAAGAUUAAAAAAUAUUUGAGGAAUACUAAACUAGAGACUUAAAUUAAAAUAGUUCGUAUGUCACAAGGAACUCCAGACCAACUCAGAAGACCUCAGUUUUCAUUACUGGAAUUGAUAAUUUAUUACAAUAACACUUUUGAAUGCAACUGGUCAAAUAAAAAUUGCAACACUUGAAUACAUUAUGGGGAAUUAGAUCCAAGAAGGCAUCACAUUACUUUUAUGACAAAUAAAGGCUAUAAACUUUCAAUUGAUGCAAGAUAUAACAACAGAAUCAAGUGUAUAACAGAAUUCAAAAGAUUUGCAGCAGUAUGCCUUCUUUAGCACUAUGAAUCUACAAUUAUUGUUAUCUAUAUUAUCCAAGUAGAAAUUGCCAUAUGUAACUGCAGAACAAUUGUUAAAAAAAAAUUCAAGCUUUUAUUACUUUGUGUUAACUUUCAAGACUCGCCUAGAUGUUACAGUGGACAACACUCAUUCGGUGAAUGACUAGAAGAAAAAAUCAGUUAGGUUUUGAAAUUUUUGCAACAUCCUAGGGUUAACACUCAUAUUUUGAAUGAUUAGAAGCACCCCUAUUUGCGUGUAUGCUUUCAAUUAGACUAAUAUCUCGAGGGAACACUUCUCAAGUCUUUGGGGAAAGGGUAUCCAUCAUUAGCGAUAAGCGCGCGCGCGCACAUAUAUAUAUAUAUAGAGAGAGAGAGAGAUGAACUGGGUUACCUGUGGAUGGCUCCAUGGUGGCCGGGGACUGUAAAAGACUAAUUGGUUCGACAACAACGGAGAAUUAGAUCCAAGUCUUUGGGGUUGUUGGCCGGCAACGGGUAGGUC